AGGGUUCGAUUCUGGCUCAGGACGAACGCUGGCGGCGUGCCUAACACAUGCAAGUCGAACGGGACUCAGCCCUUCGGGACUGAGUUUAGUGGCGAACGGGUGAGUAACGCGUGAGGAACCUGCCUUUCAGUGGGGGACAACAGUUGGAAACGACUGCUAAUACCGCAUAAUACUUUCGAGCGGCAUCGUUUGAAAGUCAAAGAUUUAUUGCUGAAAGAUGGCCUCGCGUCUGAUUAGCUAGUUGGUGGGGUAACGGCCCACCAAGGCGACGAUCAGUAGCCGGUCUGAGAGGAUGAACGGCCACAUUGGGACUGAGAUACGGCCCAG
rnacentral:rRNA from 1 species